GGGGGGGGCAAGCGUUGUUCGGAAUUACUGGGCGUAAAGGGCUGGUAGGUGGCCAACUAAGUCAGACGUGAAAUCCCCAGGCUCAACUUGGGAACUGCGUCUGAUACUGGAUGGCUUGAAUUCGGGAGAGGGAUGCAGAAUUCCAGGUGUAGCGGUGAAAUGCGUAGAUAUCUGGAGGAAUACCGGUGGCGAAGGCGGCAUCCUGGACCGAGAUUGACACUGAACAGCGAAAGCCAGGGGAGCAAACGGGAUUAGAUACCCCGGUAGUCCUGGCCCUAAACGAUGAAUGCUUGGUGUGACGGGUAUCGAUCCCUGUCGUGCCGAAGCUAACGCAUUAAGCAUUCCGCCUGGGGAGUACGGUCGCAAGGCUGAA
rnacentral:rRNA from 1 species